rnacentral:rRNA from 1 species
CAUGCAAGUCGAACGGUAACAGGAAGCAGCUUGCUGUUUCGCUGACGAGUGGCGGACGGGUGAGUAAUGUCUGGGAAACUGCCUGAUGGAGGGGGAUAACUACUGGAAACGGUAGCUAAUACCGCAUAACGUCGCAAGACCAAAGAGGGGGACCUUCGGGCCUCUUGCCAUCGGAUGUGCCCAGAUGGGAUUAGCUAGUAGGUGGGGUAACGGCUCACCUAGGCGACGAUCCCUAGCUGGUCUGAGAGGAUGACCAGCCACACUGGAACUGAGACACGGUCCAGACUCCUACGGGAGGCAGCAGUGGGGAAUAUUGCACAAUGGGCGCAAGCCUGAUGCAGCCAUGCCGCGUGUAUGAAGAAGGCCUUCGGGUUGUAAAGUACUUUCAGCGGGGAGGAA